rnacentral:rRNA from 1 species
GUCUGUUUGGAGAUAUAAAAAGUCUGGCCUGCCCACUGAUAGUUUUUAAAGGGCCGCGGUAAUUUGACCGUGCAAAGGUAGCAUAAUCGUUAGUUUUUUAAUUGGAAUCUUGUAUGAAUGGCUGAACAAAAGAAUAUCUGUCUCUGUAUUUUCUUUUGAAUUUAACUUUUAAGUGAAAAGGCUUGAAUUUUUUAAAAAGACGAUAAGACCCUGUAAAGCUUGAUAAGUUUUAUUAUUUAAUUAAAUUGAUAAUUGUAUAAAAGUUUAAUAAGAGUGAUUUAUUUUAUUGGGGCGAUAAUGAUAAAAUGUUUCUAACUGUUUAUAAAAAGAAAACAAAGUUUAGUGUGUAAAAGUGUAAAUGAUCCUUAAGUAAAGAUUAAGAGUUUAAGUUACUUCAGGGAUAACAGCGUUAUUUUUUUUGAGAGUUCAUAUCGAAAAAAAAGUUUGCGACCUCGAUGUUGAAUUAAAAUUUCUAUAUAAUUGCAGAAGUUAUAUUAGAAGGUCUGUUCGACCUUUAAAUUUUUACAUGAUUUGAGUUCAGACCGGCGUGAG